AAGAGUUGCUUAUUGUUUCGAA
rnacentral:piRNA from 1 species